AUCAGCCCUGUGAACAAAAAGAGAAGCACAGAGUCACAGAAUAUCCCGAGCCGGAAGGGAUCCACGAGGAUCAACAAGUCCAAUGCCUGGGUCCCCAAAGGACCACCCAAAAAUCAGACCAUGCGUCUGAGAGCAUUGUCUCAGAGGGAGAAGUGUGCGUAUGUGGGGGGAAAAAAAACAGAAAGGACCUAGUAUCAGUUCUGCACUUACUGGUUAGGAAAUAGUACCAGUUUUUCAGUGUUUUGCUUAACAGCUUUUUCUGCCAGGAGCAUUUUGUUUGUUUGUUUGUUUUAAUUACUGUUAUGAGGUCAUUGCAGCAUACUCUACAGACAAAAGAUCGCACAGUGCUUGGAUAGUGUUUCUUUGUACCUAUUGCCAUUUAUUAGUUUUUGAGGUGUUCUUUCAUCGAUGCCUAUAUCUUUGGAAAGAAUGGAUCUUUGUUUUGGUCUGUGUUCUUACACUUUUUAUGUUUUUCCCUUUAUUUUGAAAAACAAGUGAACAAAAUAAAUAGAACCUAUAGCCAUAUAAGAUCAGGCAAUACCCAAAAGAGAUCAGAUUCUUGUUUGUACUUUACAAAAAAAAAAGAAGAAACUGUAUGCAUAAUAAUAUAUUUGGUGUUAUUUUUGGUAAAUUUCCUCUUACAGAAGAUAUUUUUAAGUAAAAUAUGUAUGGAUCUUUUUAUGGUAAUUAAGAUUUGUUGGGCUUUCUUAAAAUCAUAUUCCAGUGGAAUUAAAUUAUGAAUGUAAAUGAGAAAAACCCAAGCCUAAUCAUGAAAGUGUAAACAGUUUCAGAUUAUAAAUUAUGCUUAAAAAUGUGGUAUCCGACCAUUUUGUAUUUAUACGUAGAUAUAAAUACACGUUGCUGCAUCACUGAUAGCAUUAAAAAGGGGGUGGCUUAAGUGUUGGGUGUCUGAAGAUGCUGCCUCUGUGGACUGGCGUUCAGCGGAGCUGCAGCAGCAAUGGCAUCCUCAGAAGUGCAGCCCUGGAGAAACACAGCGGUGAUGGGCGAGCUCUGCUCCCGCCAGGAGAUGGAGCAGGGGAGGGGCACCCAGGACGGGCACCCAGGACGGGCACCCCAGUCCUCACUGGCACCCACCGCUUCCAGCACGCAGAGGCGCUGGAUGUGCUGGCAUCUUACAUGAACUGUGAGGAAGCGUGCCUUAUGUGAAUGCUUCAGAGGGACUGCAAGGUGCAGGCUGGCUUCCCUGCUGCAAGUGCACAAAGUAGUAGAGAGUAUCUUGCUGGUGCGUGGUUUGCCUUUCCAGAGACACUUGCGGUUUUUAUCUUCUGCAAUGCCGUGCCUCCUUUCCCAGCAGAAGCACAGAAAAAUGUUAAUUCUUACUUGUCUAGAAUGGCAGAUGCCCCCAUUAAACAGAUCACUGUAGGAAUGCAAUUCUGAAAUAGUACAUUUCCACUGUUUGCAAGCCAGAAAAAUGAUAUUUUACUAGUGAGCAGACAUGAAUGUAAAGGGAAGGGUGGAAGAAAAUAAAGUUUUUUUACUUUGAAACUGCCAGAACUUAAACAGGGUAUUUCCCCAUUCUCUCCACCACCAUCUCCAUCAAAGAAAAGGCAUGAAACGUCAGGUUUUCUUGAAGAAGUUGAUUUUCUUAAUGAAAGCCAUAAUUAUGAUCUCACUGAAUAACAGAUACCAAAUAAAAGUCGUCGUCUUGCUCA